AACGAACGCUGGCGGCAUGCCUAACACAUGCAAGUCGAACGAGACCUUCGGGUCUAGUGGCGCACGGGUGCGUAACGCGUGGGAACCUGCCCUUAGGUUCGGAAUAACUCCCCGAAAGGGGUGCUAAUACCGGAUAAUGUCUUCGGACCAAAGAUUUAUUGCCUUUGGAUGGGCCUGCGUUGGAUUAGCUAGUUGGUAGGGUAAAAGCCUACCAAGGCGACGAUCCAUAGCUGGUCUGAGAGGAUGAUCAGCCACACCGGGACUGAGACACGGCCCAGACUCCUACGGGAGGCAGCAGUGGGGAAUAUUGGACAAUGGGCGAAAGCCUGAUCCAGCAAUGCCGCGUGAGUGAUGAAGGCCUUAGGGUUGUAAAGCUCUUUUACCCGUGAUGAUAAUGACAGUACCGGGAGAAUAAGCUCCGGCUAACUCCGUG
rnacentral:rRNA from 1 species